GAUUUCAGUCGAAGUUGGUUGAAAAUAGAAGAAUUCGGUUGAAGUUGAAGAUUUCAGUAGAAGUUGGUUGAAAAUAGAAGAUUUCGGUUGAAGUUGAUGAUUUCAGUCGAAGUUGGUUGAAAAUAGAAGAUUUCGGUUGAAGUUGAAGAUUUUAGUCGAAGUUGGUUGAAAAUAGAAGAUUUCGGUUGAAGUUGAUGAUUUCAGUCGAAGUUGGUUGGAAAUAGAAGAUUUCGGUUGAAGUUGGAGAUUUUAGUCGAAGUUGGUUGAAAAUAGAAGAUUUCGGUUGAAGUUGAUGAUUUCAGUCGAAGUUGGUUGGAAAUAGAAGAUUUCGGUUGAAGUUGAUGAUUUCAGUCGAAGUUGGUUGGAAAUAGAAGAUUUCGGUUGAAGUUGAUGAUUUCAGUCGAAGUUGGUUGGAAAUAGAAGAUUUCUGUUGAAGUUGGAGAUUUUAGUCAAAGUUGGUUGGAAAUAGAAGAUUUCGGUUGAAGUUGAUGAUUUCAGUCGAAGUUGGUUGAAAAUAGAAGAUUUUGGUUGAAGUUGAUGAUUUCGGUCGAAGUUGGUUGGAAAUAGAAGAUUUCGGUUGAAGUUGAAGAUUUCAGUCGAAGUUGGUUGGAAAUAGAAGAUUUCGGUUGAAGUUGAUGAUUUUAGUCGAAGUUGGUUGGAAACAACAGAUUUCAGUCGAAGUUGGUUGGAAAUAGAAGAUUUCGGUUGAGGUUGAUGAUUUCAGUCGAAGUUGGUUGGAAAUAGAAGAUUUCGGUUGAAGUUGAUGAUUUCAGUCGAAGUUGGUUGGAAAUAGAAAAUUUCGGUCGAGGUUGAUGA